rnacentral:rRNA from 1 species
UACAGAGGUCCCAAGCGUUGUUCGGAUUCACUGGGCGUAAAGGGUGCGUAGGUGGCUUGGUAAGUUCGAUGUGAAAUCUCCGGGCUUAACCCGGAAAUGGCAUUGAAUACUAUUGAGCUGGAGGUUUGGAGGGGGGACUGGAAUUCUCGGUGUAGCAGUGAAAUGCGUAGAUAUCGAGAGGAACACCAGUGGCGAAGGCGAGUCCCUGGACAAUACCUGACACUGAGGCACGAAAGCUAGGGGAGCAAACAGG